rnacentral:rRNA from 1 species
GAUGAACGCUGGCGGCGUGCCUAAUACAUGCAAGUCGAGCGAACAGACGAGGAGCUUGCUCCUUUGACGUUAGCGGCGGACGGGUGAGUAACACGUGGAUAACCUACCUAUGAGACUGGGAUAACUUCGGGAAACCGGAGCUAAUACCGGAUAACAUGUUGAACCGCAUGGUUCAACAGUGAAAGACGGUCUUGCUGUCACUUAUAGAUGGAUCCGCGCCGCAUUAGCUAGUUGGUAAGGUAACGGCUUACCAAGGCAACGAUGCGUAGCCGACCUGAGAGGGUGAUCGGCCACACUGGAACUGAGACACGGUCCAGACUCCUACGGGAGGCAGCAGUAGGGAAUCUUCCGCAAUGGGCGAAAGCCUGACGGAGCAACGCCGCGUGAGUGAAGAAGGUCUUCGGAUCGUAAAACUCUGUUAUUAGGGAAGAACAAAUGUGUAAGUAACUAUGCACGUCUUGACGGUACCUAAUCAGAAAGCCACGGCUAACUACGUG